rnacentral:ncRNA from 1 species
CAGUCAUCAUAUCAGUAGACUGAUGGAUUGAGAGAUGAAGGGCGAGAGGUUUGUCCUGGUCCACGCAAGGCAGAUAGGGGAGAUAGUGCUUCUCUUAUGAGAAGGGCGUCGUGAACACAGUUAAGUGGCUCGUCUGUAGCUCCCGGAGGUGAGUACACCUCUACGUAUAUGGGGCGAUGAGGGGUCAAGAAGACUGGCAUAUACCUUAA